rnacentral:lncRNA from 1 species
UCCUCAACUCCUCCCUCCCGCAAAGAUCGGUCCCGGCGGCAACCCCAAAUCCCAGACCACCACGCAACGGCGCCACGGUCUCCUUCCUCUCCCCGACCACCACACAACGGCCUCCUCUCCUUCUACCGCGCGACGGAGCCACGGUCUGCCUCGUCAAGCGCUGAUCUGAAGCCACCUCCCUCCGCCAUCUCCCUCAGAUCUGAAGCCCACUCCCUCGUCCACUGCAGAUCUGAAGCCUCCGGCUGCUGUUGCUAUUUCCUUCUAUUUUUUCUUUUCUAUGAGAUGCUGCUUUGUUGUUUGAUGCUACACCAAGUUUCUCUAUGGUAUCCAUGAUGUGUUCGUUCGUCCUUUGUGUGUGUGCGCGUAUAUUCAUGAGUUCGUUCGUCCUUUGUGUGUAUGCGUAUGCACAGAUCCCGUGUGUGUUCAUCUGCAGACCCGUGUGUGUUCGGUGCAGAUCUGAAGUUGAUUAUGUAUAUGUGCUAUUGGCUGUGAUUUAGUCAUGGAUCUGUAAAUUGUCGGGC